UCUCGAAUAGCAUUUGUAUGAAUAUGAAAUCAGCAAGUGCGGUGCUUUUGCCUUGUAUAGAUUGGAACUUAGGAUUGUAGAAGGCAAGAAAAGUCUAAAAGUGGUUUGACCUGGUAAGGGGUACAUUAAUCAAUUGCGCCAAAAGGCUUAGAUGGGUAGAGAUAAUUUAUAAUUGUGUUCAUCACAGAUUGCAAUGUUUAUUAAUAUGUCCAUUGCACUAACCUUUUUAAUAUGUAAAAGGAAAAGAUAUUCUGCUCAAUAUAUCAGAAGACGAGAGCCUUGAGGUAAAAUUGAGCAGGGUGAACAUCGAUGCUUUCAUACUGGUAUAUUAUUUUUUACCUUACACAUUAGUCGGCUUGCUCUUUUUUUAAUGAUAUUUUUCUCGCUAUCCUUACUAGAUUAAAUUAAAUUGCAUGAUUUAUAUGUAACUGGAACAGACACUUUUGCUGUCAUUAUAGAAUGGGCGCUUUUGUUGUUAAUUCUUACUAAUUUACGACCUGUUUAGUUUUUUGACUGCCUUCCCCUUCUUUUAAUAACAAAGUUGUUCUGAAUUUUUUUAUUUAAAGAUUUUGUGUAAAGGGUCUUAGUCUGGAAACGAAAUUGCAUGUGAUGUUCAGUAGGAUGCUCAACGAGAAAUUGCCUUCCAGGAGUGGCAUAGGCAUAGUAUGUGUAUCCCCUCGAGUAGUUCAGACCAACUUUGUAAGUUUCUUGAAGAUCUAUUCUUUUUAUAUGUAGUUUCCAAUUGGGAUUUUAAUGACCCAAAGGUAUAGUUGCAAAGCAUUUGGCCGAGGAGGCUCGUACUAGGAAAAGCAGCGAUGAUAUUUCCUGCAUUGUUGCAACUGUUCCUUUGUAUUUGUGUCGGUUUCGUUGAAGGGCUUCUUAUUGGAUUUGUCACUGAGUACUAUACAAGCAAUGCUUACAGCUUUGCUGCUAUGUGCGGUAUUGCAGUAGCUGCCCCGGGAUGUUGAGCACUAUUGCUACUGGGUUGGCCAUUGAUGCAUAUGGUCUCAUUAGUGAUAACGCUGGAGGAAUAGCUGAAAUGGCCGGAAUGAGUGAUAGAAUACGAGAGUGAACUGUGCAGGAAACACCACUGCAGCUCUU